rnacentral:rRNA from 1 species
UACGGGGGAGCAAGCGUUGUUCGGAUUUACUGGGCGUAAAGGGCGCGUAGGCGGCCACCGCAAGUCGGUUGUGAAAUCUCGUGGGCCUUAACCCAGAAAGGUCAACCGAUACUGCGGGGCUAGAGUGCAGAAGGGGCAACUGGAAUUCUCGGUGUAGCGGUGAAAUGCGUAGAUAUCGAGAGGAACACCUGCGGCGAAGGCGGGUGCUGGGCUGACACUGACGCUGAUGCGCGAAAGCUAGGGGAGCGAACGGG